rnacentral:rRNA from 1 species
UACGUAGGGUGCGAGCGUUAAUCGGAAUUACUGGGCGUAAAGCGUGCGCAGGCGGCGCGUUAAGACAGGUGUGAAAGCCCUGAGCUUAACUUGGGAAUUGCGCUUGUGACUGGCGUGCUGGAGUGUGGCAGAGGGAGGUGGAAUUCCACGUGUAGCAGUGAAAUGCGUAGAGAUGUGGAGGAACACCGAUGGCGAAGGCAGCCUCCUGGGCCAGCACUGACGCUCAUGCACGAAAGCGUGGGGAGCAAACAGG